GUGAGGGAGGGUGUGACUAGUGACAGGUAAGCAGGGAAGGGGUGACUAGUGACAGAGGGAGGGGUGACUAGGGACAGAGUGAGGGAGGUGGUGACUAGUGACAGUCACCACCUCCCUCACUCUGUCACUAGUCACCACCUCCCUCCAUCACUGUGUCACCCCCUCCCGCACUCUGUCACCAGUCAUCCCCUUACUCUGUCACUAGUCACCCCUCCCUUCCCUCAC